UACGUAGGGGGCAAGCGUUGUCCGGAUUUAUUGGGCGUAAAGAGCGUGUAGGCGGCUAGAUAGGUCCGUUGUGAAAACUCGAGGCUCAACCUAGAGACGUCGAUGGAAACCAUCUGGCUAGAGUCCGGAAGAGGAGAGUGGAAUUCCUGGUGUAGCGGUGAAAUGCGCAGAUAUCAGGAAGAACACCAAUGGCGAAGGCAGCUCUCUGGGACGGUACUGACGCUGAGACGCGAAAGCGUGGGGAGCGAACAGG
rnacentral:rRNA from 1 species